rnacentral:rRNA from 1 species
AUACCGGGCCCAACGGGUCUGGUAAUUGGAAUGAGUACAAUUUAAAUCCCUUAACGAGGAUCAAUUGGAGGGCAAGUCUGGUGCCAGCAGCCGCGGUAAUUCCAGCUCCAAUAGCGUAUAUUAAAGUUGUUGCAGUUAAAAAGCUCGUAGUUGGAUUUCUGGUUUGAUGCGCCUGGCCCGCCGCGGUUACGCGUGUGAGAGCCGGUUGCGCGUCGACCAUCCUUCUGGAGAGCGCGGCUAUUCUUCACUGAACUGGUCGCGCGAUCUGGAUCGUUUACUUUGAAAAAAUUAGAGUGUUCAAAGCAGGCUUGCGCUGUGAAUACAUUAGCAUGGAAUAAUGGGAUAGGACUUUGGUUCUAUUUUGUUGGUUUCUAGGACCGAACGUAAUGAUUGAUAGGGACAGUUGGGGGUGCUCGUAUUCAACGGCCAGAGGUGAAAUUCUUGGAUUCGUUGAAGACGAACUUAUGCGAAAGCAUUCACCAAGGAUGUCUUCUUUAAUCAAGAACGAAAGUUGGGGGAUCGAAGACGAUCAGAUACCGUCGUAGUCUCAACCAUAAACUAUACCGACUAGGGAUGGGCGAACGUUGCUUUUAUUCGACUUCGUCCGCACCUCAUGAGAAAUCAAAGUCUUUGGGUUCCGGGGGGAGUAUGGUCGCAAGGCUGAAACUUAAAGGAAUUGACGGAAGGGCACCACCAGGAGUGGAGCCUGCGGCUUAAUUUGACCCAACACGGGAAAACUUACCAGGUCCAGACAUAGUGAGGAUUGAUAGAUUGAAGAUCUUUCUUGAUUCUAUGGGUGGUGGUGCAUGGCCGUUCUUAGUUGGUGGAGUGAUUUGUCUGGUUAAUUCCGUUAACGAACGAGACCUCGACCUGCUAACUAGGUCGGCGAACACCUCGGUGUUCGACCGGCACUUCUUAGAGGGACUAUCGGUGUUCUAGCCGAUGGAAGUUCGAGGCAAUAACAGGUCUGUGAUGCCCUUAGAUGUUCUGGGCUGCACGCGCGCUACACUGAUGCAUGCAUCGAGCUCUUCCACCUUGGCCGAGAGGUCUGGGGAAUCUUGCAAUAUGCAUCGUGCUGGGGAUAGAUUAUUGCAAUUAUUAAUCUUCAACGAGGAAUUCCUAGUAAACGCAAGUCAUCAGCUUGCAUUGAUUACGUCCCUGCCCUUUGUACACACCGCCCGUCGCUACUAUCGAUUGAAUGGCUUAGUGAGCCUCACGGAUCGCGGCAGUUUUGCUUUCGAGCAUCCGACAGCUGGGAAAAGUGAUGCAAACUUGACCAUUUAGAGGAAGUAAAAGUCGUAACAAGGU